UGGGGAAUAUUGCACAAUGGGGGAAACCCUGAUGCAGCGACGCCGCGUGAACGAAGAAGGUAUUCGUAUCGUAAAGUUCUGUCCUAUGGGAAGAUAAUGACAGUACCAUAGAAGAAAGCUCCGGCUAAAUACGUGCCAGCAGCCGCGGUAAUACGUAUGGAGCGAGCGUUGUCCGGAAUUAUUGGGCGUAAAGGGUACGCAGGCGGUUUAAUAAGUCGAAUGUUAAAGAUCGGGGCUCAACCCCGUAAAGCAUUGGAAACUGAUAAACUUGAGUAGUGGAGAGGAAAGUGGAAUUCCUAGUGUAGUGGUGAAAUACGUAGAUAGUAGGAGGAAUACCAGUAGCGAAGGCGACUUUCUGGACACAAACUGACGCUGAGGUACGAAAGCGUGGGGAGCAAACAGG
rnacentral:rRNA from 1 species